AUGUGUUCAUGUUCAAUUAAAAAAAAAUUGGAAUGAUAGAAAAGAUUGGCACAACCCCUAAACAAGGAUGACAUGUAAAUUCGAGAAACAUUCCAUACUUUU
ensembl:snRNA U6 U6 spliceosomal RNA